rnacentral:rRNA from 1 species
UUUUGUGGCCAAACUUUCUCGUCAAAGUCUGUUUUUGUUUGAUCUCAGAAGCGAAGAAAGGCAGGACCUGGUUAGUACUUGGAUGGGAGACCGCUGGGUGCUAAGUGUUAUAGUUG